CUCGUCGCCAGCGCCUCCUCCAAGGAUGGGGAGAUGGAGCUGCCCCCCGCGGAGUCGUGCGCCCUCGACGAUGAGGAGGAGGAGGACGUGUUGGUGUCCCGCCCCCGGGGGCUGUUGGGACGCCUCAGGAGGGACAAGACGGGCGACAGCAGCGCCAUGACGCCGCUGUCGUUCCCGCGUCGCAACCCCGGCGAAACGACUGCCUGAGAGGGAGGGCACCGCCCCCCUCAGGAGGAGCCCCUGCUCCCCUCUUCUACCCUCACCCCCUACGAGGGUUACGAGUGGGAUCAUCUUCCCCAAAUCCCCAACCCGGGGGGAGAGGAACCAGUUUUUGUCUGAUGGGGUUAAUGCCCUCGAUUUUUUCAACUGUAAACUGGGAUUUCUUCUUGUUCUUAUUUUUUCAGUAUUAUAUUAUAGGCCA